UACGGAGCCUGCAGAGGGUCCCACGCUGGAAGCGAGAGAGGAGGACUGAACAUUCUUCACGAUCUGAAAGGAAAAGAAGAGAUUCUUUCGGGAUGUUUGACGGUUAUGAUAGCUGCAGUGAGGACACAAGCAGCAGCUCCAGCUCCGAAGAGAGUGAGGAAGAAGUUGCUCCUUUACCUUCUAAUCUCCCGAUUAUCAAAAACAAUGGGCAAGUCUACACAUACCCAGAUGGUAAAUCUGGCAUGGCUACCUGUGAGAUGUGUGGGAUGGUUGGCGUCCGAGAUGCUUUUUACUCUAAAACAAAGCGUUUCUGUAGCGUUUCAUGUUCAAGAAGUUACUCGUCAAACUCCAAGAAGGCAAGCAUUUUGGCCAGACUUCAGGGUAAGCCUCCAACAAAGAAAGCAAAAGUUCUUCAGAAACAACCUUUAGUUGCUAAGCUAGCCGCAUAUGCUCAGUAUCAAGCUACCUUGCAAAAUCAAGCAAAGACAAAAGCAGCAGUCUCCAUGGAAGGUUUCAGCUGGGGUAACUACAUCAAUAGCAAUAGCUUUAUAGCAGCUCCGGUUACCUGUUUUAAACAUGCACCUAUGGGGACCUGCUGGGGUGAUAUCUCAGAAAAUGUGAGAGUAGAAGUUCCCAAUACAGACUGCAGCCUACCUACCAAAGUCUUCUGGAUUGCUGGAAUUGUAAAAUUAGCAGGUUACAAUGCCCUUUUAAGAUAUGAAGGAUUUGAAAAUGACUCUGGUCUGGACUUCUGGUGCAAUAUAUGUGGUUCUGAUAUCCAUCCAGUUGGUUGGUGUGCAGCCAGCGGAAAACCUCUUGUUCCUCCUAGAACUAUUCAGCAUAAAUAUACAAACUGGAAAGCUUUUCUAGUGAAACGACUUACUGGUGCCAAAACACUGCCUCCUGAUUUCUCACAAAAGGUUUCAGAGAGUAUGCAGUAUCCUUUCAAACCUUGCAUGAGAGUAGAAGUGGUUGACAAGAGGCAUUUGUGUCGAACACGAGUAGCAGUGGUGGAAAGUGUAAUUGGAGGAAGAUUAAGACUAGUGUAUGAAGAAAGCGAAGAUAGAACAGAUGACUUCUGGUGCCAUAUGCACAGCCCAUUAAUACAUCAUAUUGGUUGGUCUCGAAGCAUAGGUCAUCGAUUCAAAAGAUCUGAUAUUACAAAGAAACAGGAUGGACAUUUUGAUACACCACCACAUUUAUUUGCUAAGGUAAAAGAAGUAGACCAGAGUGGGGAAUGGUUCAAGGAAGGAAUGAAAUUGGAAGCUAUAGACCCAUUAAAUCUUUCUACAAUAUGUGUCGCAACCAUUAGAAAGGUUACACAAAACUUCCUUUUAAAUGGUUUGACUACCUCAGGGAAACUGGCUCCAUUGCAGCACCAGUAAAACUAUUUAAUAAGGAUGUUCCAAAUCACGGAUUUCGUGUAGGAAUGAAAUUAGAAGCAGUAGAUCUCAUGGAGCCACGUUUAAUAUGUGUAGCCACAGUAACUCGAAUUAUUCAUCGUCUCUUGAGGAUACAUUUUGAUGGAUGGGAAGAAGAGUAUGAUCAGUGGGUAGACUGUGAGUCCCCUGACCUCUAUCCUGUAGGGUGGUGUCAGUUAACUGGAUAUCAACUACAGCCUCCAGCAUCACAGUGUAAGUUGGUAUACAGAAAAGGUGUCCUUUUGUAAAAAUCAGCAAUUCUCCAGAGGACUAUCUCACAUAAGUCAUCUUAUGAGCUCACAGGACAAGAAUAUACCUAUGUCUGAUUGGUUGCCAGGUAAGACAUUGAGACUCAACAACAAUAUCACAGAAUCAGACCAUGUGUACCAUGGCAGUGUGAAUCCAAUAGUCAAUUACAUAAUGACUAUAGAAACACAACAAUCACCAAAUUAAACUAGACUUACUAUUUUAGUGAGUUAAAAAUUACAGACUAAAAGUUUAUUGGUCUGUAAUAAAUGCUUUUGAGUAAAUAGUGGAAUCUGUCUCAUGUUGAGGCUAUGGUUUUGUAGGAACAAGUACCCUUAUUUUCAGAGCAUCAUGUACUUAAGUAUAAUGGUCUUGGUAAAGAUAAUUCAUCUAAGUUGUAUCUAGACAGCUGUAUCGUCUAAAUUGUAAACAAUUAUCUGGUACCAAUUUUCCCUUUUUAUUUUUCAGCAUCAAGAGAAAACCAAUCAGCUUCAUC
rnacentral:sRNA from 1 species